CCUUUAACAAAAAAUUAGAAACCUAAGUUCUAAUCUUCUAUUUUUUAUUAAUUAGUUCACCAAAUCUCAUAACUUUCCUGGUCCUCAAUUUCUUACCUAGAAAUUGAUUUUGUAGUAUUAGGUGAUUUCUUCAGGCUCUUCUAGUUCUGACUUUCUGUGAGACCUGGUACUGUUCCAUGGUCGUAAUUUAAUGAGACACAUUAACUUUUCAGGCCUCUAAGGAACAAUUUCCUUAACACUCAAACAUAGUGUUUCACCCUAGUUUCUGUCCUAUAUCUAAGUAUGUUUUGCCCCAGGGAAAACAGACUCAGAGUGCUGUGAUGGCAGAGAAUAGUUUCUCAUUUCCAUCGGUUUUAUAUAAAGGGGAAAAAAAACAGUGUCAUAACUCUAGUGGAUUUAUUUCCUGCUAACUUUAAAAGCUAAGAAAUGCUUGAAAAUAUAUCUUCAAUGUCACAGAUUAGAACGUCCUGUGGAGACAAAUUAAUUUUCUCUAAAUGACAUUUGAAAACUUGCUAAGGGCAAAGAACAGAAGAAUAUGGCUAUCCAAUGAGUCAUUUUAUAAUUUCAGGAUGAAGUUGACCACCUUGUAUGAUAAGUUUCUGUGGAGCAAACAGGACAAGCUAUAAAAAGAAUGCUGGCUGCCCAGUAAAAAGGACACCGGCAAAGGGGUAACAUGGCACCAUUCAGGAAGCACCAGCCUGGGAGACAGAGGACAAGGGAUAAGGUACUCCCUGACUAUUCCUAAUGAUCUUGUUUUUUCUUUUUUUUUUUUUAAAGAUUUUAUUUAUUCAUGAGACAGAGAGAGAGAGAGGCAGAGAGAGAAACAGGCUUUCCGCAGGGAGCCCCUAUGGGACUUGAUCCCCAGUCUCGGGAUCACGCCCUGAGCUGAAGGCAGACACUCAACCGCUGAACCACCCAGGCGUCCCUGAUUCUUGUUUUUGUUGAGUGCACCUGAAUUUUGCCUCCCAUUAAUUCUGAGCCAAAAAAUAAUAAUAGUGUUUUUCAUAUCCAUGAACAUGUAUAACUUUUGUUUUCCCUCUCCCAAACAGGAGAGAAAUAUGCUUCAAGUUAGUGAGAAUGAGAAAUUAUUGUGUAUGCAUAUGUCUAAUCAGCAUGAGAAUCAACCUAUAAUCAUUAAUUGAUUUUAUAAUAAUUACCGUGAAAGGCAGUGUGGUUUAAUUGAGGAGAGAACUAGAUUUACUAUCAGCCACGCCUGAGUUGAUGUUUUCUUUUUAGUGCUUAUUAGUUGUGUAAACUUAAUCGAGUUCCUUCAAUUUCUGGGCCUUAUCUGUAACAUGAGGCUAACAAUAUUUACCUUCCUGUGUUGUUAUAAUGACUAAAUAAAAUAAUUUGAUAGAUGCA
rnacentral:lncRNA from 12 species